rnacentral:rRNA from 1 species
GAUGAACGCUAGCGGCAGGCCUAAUACAUGCAAGUCGGACGGGAUUCAGGAGCUUGCUUCUGAUGAGAGUGGCGCACGGGUGCGUAACACGUAUGUAACCUACCUUUAUCAGGGGGAUAGCCUCUCGAAAGAGAGAUUAAGCCCGCAUAAAAUCACAGCACAGCAUUGUGUAAUGAUCAAAUAUUUAUAGGAUAAAGAUGGGCAUGCGGAACAUUAGCUAGAUGGCGGGGUAACGGCCCACCAUGGCGACGAUGUUUAGGGGAUCUGAGAGGAUGGCCCCCCACACUGGGACUGAGACACGGACCAGACUCCUACGGGAGGCAGCAGUAAGGAAUAUUGGUCAAUGGGCGGGAGCCUGAACCAGCCAUGCCGCGUGCAGGAAGACGGCCCUACGGGUUGUAAACUGCUUUUAUACGGGAAUAAACCCAGAUACGUGUAUCUGGCUGAAUGUACUGUAAGAAUAAGGAUCGGCUAACUCCGUG